ACCUACGGGAGGCAGCAGUGGGGAAUAUUGGACAAUGGGCGAAAGCCUGAUCCAGCCAUGCCGCGUGGGUGAAGAAGGCCUUAGGGUUGUAAACCCCUUUCAGCGGGGAAGAUAAUGACGGUACCCGCAGAAGAAGCCCCGGCUAACUCCGUGCCAGCAGCCGCGGUAAUACGGAGGGGGCUAGCGUUGUUCGGAAUUACUGGGCGUAAAGCGCGCGUAGGCGGACCUGCAAGUCGGGGGUGAAAGCCCGAGGCUCAACCUCGGAACUGCCUUCGAUACUGCGGGUCUCGAGUCCGGGAGAGGUGAGUGGAAUUCCUAGUGUAGAGGUGAAAUUCGUAGAUAUUAGGAAGAACACCAGUGGCGAAGGCGGCUCACUGGCCCGGUACUGACGCUGAGGCGCGAAAGCGUGGGGAGCAAACAGGAUUAGAUACCCUGGUAGC
rnacentral:rRNA from 1 species